CACAGGUUUGGUCCCAGCCUUUCUAUUGGUUGCUAGCAAAACUACACAUGCAAGUAUCCGCGCUCCAGUGAGGAUGCCCUACAAGUCAUAACCCUGACAAAAAGGAGUGGGUAUCAAGCACACUUACAAGUAGCUCAUAACGCCUUGCUCAACCACACCCCCACGGGAAACAGCAGUGAUAGAAUUUAAGCAAUAAACGAAAGUUUGACUAAGUUAUGCUUGCAAGGGUUGGUAAAUUUCGUGCCAGCCACCGCGGUCAUACGAUUAACCCUAAUCAAUAGAUCUACGGCGUAAAACGUGUUUAAGAACCCCAAACAACUAAAGCCAAACUCUAGCUACGCUGUAAAAAGCCCCAGCUACUGUAAGAUCCACUACGAAAGUGACUUUAGACUAACUGAACACACGACAGCUGGGAUCCAAACUGGGAUUAGAUACCCCACUAUGCCCAGCCUUAAACCUAAAGGAUUCACAUAACAAAAACCUUCGCCAGAGUACUACUAGCCAAAGCUUAAAACUCAAAGGACUUGGCGGUGCUUCACAUCCACCUAGAGGAGCCUGUUCUAUAAUCGAUAAACCCCGAUAAACCCUACCAACCCUUGCCAACUCAGCCUAUAUACCGCCAUCUUCAGCAAACCCUAAAAAGGAACUAUAGUAAGCUCAACCACAGUUCGUAAAAACGUUAGGUCAAGGUGUAGCCUAUGGGUUGGAAAGAAAUGGGCUACAUUUCCUAACACAAGGCCACCCCCUCCACACGAAAGUCUCUGUGAAAUCAGGGACCAAAGGCGGAUUUAGCAGUAAGCUAAGAAUAGAGCGCUUAGCUGAAUCAGGCCAUGAAGCACGCACACACCGCCCGUCACCCUCCUCAAAUACUAACGGUGAAUUCCAACCUUAUUAACCCACACCACAACUACUAGAGGAGACAAGUCGUAACAAGGUAAGUGUACUGGAAAGUGCGCUUGGACAAUA
rnacentral:ncRNA from 1 species